rnacentral:rRNA from 1 species
UACGUAGGGUGCGAGCGUUGUCCGGAAUUAUUGGGCGUAAAGAGCUCGUAGGCGGUGUGUCGCGUCGGCCGUGAAAACCUGGGGCUCAACUCUGGGCGUGCGGUCGAUACGGGCAUCACUUGAGUUCGGCAGGGGAGACUGGAAUCCUGGUGUAGCGGUGAAAUGCGCAGAUAUCAGGAGGAACACCGAUGGCGAAGGCAAUCCCUGGACUGUACGUGACGCUCUGCACGAAGCGUGG